rnacentral:sRNA from 1 species
AGGCUCUUAACACAGAUAACGGAUUAACCAUUAGUGAAGCUCUGGCGGUCACCCGGCGGCUGCUGACAACUGAAUAAACACUCCGAAGCACUGCGAUCUGUCAAGGGCUGGGGCCGCCA